rnacentral:rRNA from 1 species
AAGUCGUAACAAGGUUUCCGUAGGUGAACCUGCGGAAGGAUCAUUAACACGUAUCCAACGUUAAAAACCCCGUGAACCUUUAUUCGCCGCUCCCACGGCUCAGUCGCGUAAAGCUAGCAAUCCCUGUACUCGUCCGAGAAAUGUAAGGAGGAGGGACUUCUGGCAGUGCACCGUGGUUUCAGAGCGCUUGGUUAGUGGCUUGUUUUUCCCCAAGCAAUCAGUGAGUGACAGUGUCAUUGGUUGUCUAAGGAUUUCGCUUAGCGAUCACUAGAGGUCGAUCACCGACCGGUGGAUCAAGUCACAGGGCUUCGGCUCCCUCNCCAACCCCACUUCCUAUUGCCGCUCCGCGCUAACAACGCCGGGCAUUUAAAAACGUACUAAACAACUGUUAACAAUGGAUAUCUUGGUUCUCGCAACGAUGAAGAACGCAGCGAAAUGCGAUACGUAAUGCGAAUUGCAGAAUUCAGUGAAUCAUCGAAUCUUUGAACGCAAAUUGCGCUCUCGGGUUACCCCCAAGAGCACACCUCUCUGAGUGUCGGUUUAACCAAAUGUCACCNAUUUAUUGGUGUACGAUAUUUGAGGGUAAGGAGUCUCGGCUUCUUUCCUUUUAAAUUUCAGCCGCACGACUGUGUGUGUUCGUGGCAAGUUGCUUUCACUUAACUGUGAAUCCAAUCCACUGACCCUAUGUUAUGCAGCAAAAAGAAACAACUGGGCAAAAUUCGAAGCUUGGAGGUGAAUGAAAGCGUCAUUCUUCAGGUGAUAAGAACUUUGUUCAACCUAUGAAUUAGACCUCAGAUGAAGUGGGAAGACCCCCUGAAUUUA